UACGUAGGGUGCGAGCGUUAAUCGGAUUUACUGGGCGUAAAGCGUGCGCAGGCGGCCCGUUAAGACAGGUGUGAAAUCCCUGGGCUCAACCUAGGAAUUGCGCUUGUGACUGGCGGGCUCGAGUACGGUAGAGGGGGGUGGAAUUCCUGGUGUAGCAGUGAAAUGCGUAGAGAUCAGGAGGAACACCGAUGGCGAAGGCAGCCCCCUGGGCCUGUACUGACGCUCAUGCACGAAAGCGUGGGGAGCAAACAGC
rnacentral:rRNA from 1 species